UACGGGGGGGGCAAGCGUUGUUCGGAAUUACUGGGCGUAAAGGGCGCGUAGGCGGCCUUCUAAGUCGGACGUGAAAUCCCUCGGCUUAACCGAGGAACUGCGUCCGAUACUGAAAGGCUUGAAUCCGGGAGAGGGAUGUGGAAUUCCAGGUGUAGCGGUGAAAUGCGUAGAUAUCUGGAGGAACACCGGUGGCGAAGGCGGCAUCCUGGACCGGUAUUGACGCUGAGGCGCGAAAGCUAGGGGAGCAAACGGGG
rnacentral:rRNA from 1 species